GAGUAGUAUGCCCAAAAUACACGUCAGUGUCUAAUUAUACAAGUACAAUAAUAAUUUUGAGGAUAGAUAGACUAAGACAGACCAAGAAACUGCUUGGAAGUCUAUUCAUUGGAGUACCAAAAUAAAAAAAAGAAUAAGCAUCAAUAUUAGGAGUUGUGCUUCCCAUUCCUUUCAAAUAUGAUAAUAUCAUCAAAAAAGUAACGCACUCAUAUAAUCAAAGUUGCAUGAAGUAAGACGCAGAAGAUCUCUACAUGGGGCUCGACCGUGUCCCCUGUUAUGUCCAUCCUCUGCGUAGCACCUCUCACAACAGAUCAACUUGUUGCUCAGUAAAUCACCGCAUUUCUUUCCUUAGAAGCGUAUGUGGAGUCUCUCCUCGGCCAUCUUCGUCUUUGUGUCCAAACAUUGGGCUCCACAUAAAUAGAGAGAUAACCAAAUACUUGCAAUGUUGUUAAUCUGUAUUUCAAUAUUAGUCAGUAAUGGUGUGAAAUUGAGCUAGUUUUGUAUCUAUGGGUUGAUAAACUUCCCAGUGAGAAGUCAUGCAUCCGUCAAUUUGCAGCAUACAAAGAAUGUGAUUGAUGUGAGUGGAUAUUGGUGUUCUGGUGUUGAUAUAAGCAAAUCUCUUAAUGAACUAAAGCCAUCGGCCAUAUCUAUACCAUAUGGGACAAUGCCUAGUAAAAACAAUUUGCAGUCACAAGACGAAGCCAAGUGCUGACAAAAAUGUCAUGAGAAGCCAGCUGGUACAGUUCACCAUCCCAGCAUACUUGAUAGUGCAAAUGACAUACGAUUAUCACAAUGUAAAGUUUUUUUUACCAGUACUAAAUACUGCCCAUCGGAUUAAGGCCAACUUAUAAAGAUAAGUUUCAUGGUGGAUUAGAGACCACUCGGUAAUUCAGAAUCGAGAAGAAAAAAAUACAUAUAACAGGUAGCCGACAAAGCAGAUAAUAAAGCUGAAAUAUCCCCUUAUAUUUCUUCCAGUGAAGUCUCGCCUUUAAUCAUCCAUCCAUAUGUAGUCAUAAACAAUUGAUAAAAGGAGCAGUAUGCUUAGGGAAAAUAUUUUUUUUCUGUGCACAACACUCUAAUAAACACAGUACAGGUUGAUUAAAAGAUAUCCAUCUAUAUAAAGCUCUUGUUUGGUUCUACCCGAGUGCUGCUAAAUGUGAUGGUGGAGUUUCUGCUUGUGAAGAUGCCUUUUCACUCAUCGACUUUACCCACUCACUCCUUCAGCUCCUAAUCCUGCCUGUUUGAGCCAUUACUUUGCCUAAUAUUCUCCUACCAAAAGGAACAACACAUUCACGCAUCCGUUCAGUCAGUUAUGAAAAUUAUGAUAAGCAGGAGAGGCUCGACUAUGAAUCAAUCGAUCCAUGCCCCCUUACCGAGGUGGAACUCAUGGUGACAUGAGAGACUCAUCUUCAUCAAUGUCUCCGCACAGCCACAAUGAGGCAGGUUCAUACAUCUAGCUGAUCUUGGUUAUUACUCGAUGAUUCACUGUCAUCCCCGUGUCUUCUGUUGGUAGCGAAAAAGUUGAGCAGUUUUACAUCAACAAUUACAUACAAAUAAAAUCAUUGUGUUGUCUUCUUCGUGGUGUAAGACUACUUAGUAGGGUGCAUGUCAACCGAACAAUAAGAUGCGUUUUGUGUGAAUUUGAACCCAUAAAUCUCAGACAUGUGAACAAACAGACAUUCAAUUAUUAGUCUGAUAGUCUAGUUAGUUUAAAAAAUAUUGAGUUGCAUAUAACUUUCAGGUGAGCAACAAACAAAAAUCUCUAUAACCACAUACUUGUUAUUGGAGAGUGAACAGUUGUUAUUUCACGUAUCUUACCUUCAUAGACAAUAGAGGAAAACUUCAACUCCAUUAUUGACGCUAUCUCCAUUGCAAGAUUCAGGAAAGAAUUUCUGUUGAGAACCAGUGAAAAAACUAUUAUUAAAAAUACAAGACCACAUGAUGAAGCACGUACUAUUUCAUUUUUCAGUCCUACAGUGUAACAUCAAGAAACAAGCGCUAAUUAAUUCAAGAAUUACAUCAUAACUUUCAGGUGAGAACCAAAUAAAAGUUCCUAUUUCAUUUUUCAGUCCCACGGUGUAACAUCAAGAAAGAGCCCUAAUUAAUUCAAGAAUUACAUCAUAACUUUCAGGUGAGAAAUAAAUAAAAGUUCCUAUAACCACUUGCUUGUUCUUGGUGGAUCAAAAUUUAAAACAUGAAGGCAAGUUGCAAGUUGUCAAUAGGAUCUGGACAACACAUGAAGCUUCCACCGUUCAGCUGUGUGUGUGAGAGAGAAAAAGAGGGAGAGGAUGGCUAACAAGAUGAUAGAUUUGAUGCGACGAAUGGGGGUGAAGAGGGUGGGUACCUGUGGUUGAGUGCUCCCCGUCCCAGGGUAGUGUUUACUGGCU
rnacentral:lncRNA from 1 species